UACGUAGGGUGCGAGCGUUAAUCGGAAUUACUGGGCGUAAAGCGUGCGCAGGCGGCUUCGCAAGUCAGACGUGAAAUCCCCGGGCUUAACUUGGGAAUUGCGCUCGAAACUACGAUGCUGGAGUGUGGCAGAGGGAGGUGGAAUUCCACGUGUAGCGGUGAAAUGCGUAGAGAUGUGGAGGAACACCGAUGGCGAAGGCAGCCUCCUGGGCUAACACUGACGCUCAUGCACGAAAGCGUGGGGAGCAAACAGG
rnacentral:rRNA from 1 species